rnacentral:rRNA from 1 species
GACGAACGCUGGCGGCGUGCUUAACACAUGCAAGUCGAACGGAAAGGCCCUGCUUGCAGGGUACUCGAGUGGCGAACGGGUGAGUAACACGUGGGUGAUCUGCCCUGCACUUCGGGAUAAGCCUGGGAAACUGGGUCUAAUACCGGAUAGGAGCCAUUUUUAGUGUGAUGGUUGGAAAGUUUUUUCGGUGUAGGAUGAGCUCGCGGCCUAUCAGCUUGUUGGUGGGGUAAUGGCCUACCAAGGCGGCGACGGGUAGCCGGCCUGAGAGGGUGGACGGCCACAUUGGGACUUAGAGACGGCCCAGACUCCGACGGGAGGCAGCAGGGGGGAAUAUUGCACAAUGGGCGCAAGCCUGAUGCAGCGACGCCGCGUGGGGGAAGACGGCCUUCGGGUUGUAAACUCCUUUCGCUAGGGACGAAGCUUUUUGUGACGGUACCUAGAUAAGAAGCACCGGCUAACUACGUG